ACUAGGGUAAUAUAAAAGAAUAUGUCUUGCUUACACCAAAAAACUGGCUCAAAGCCUCCUAGCA
rnacentral:tRNA from 1 species